rnacentral:rRNA from 1 species
GACGAACGCUGGCGGCGUGCCUAAUACAUGCAAGUCGAGCGGAUGGAAGGAAGCUUGCUUCCUAAAGUCAGCGGCGGACGGGUGAGUAACACGUGGGCAACCUGCCCCUAAGAUCGGGAUAACUUCGGGAAACCGGAGCUAAUACCGGAUAUGAUUAUGUCUCACAUGAGACAUAAUGGAAAGUCGGUUUCGGCUGUCACUUAGGGAUGGGCCCGCGGCGCAUUAGCUAGUUGGUGAGGUAACGGCUCACCAAGGCGACGAUGCGUAGCCGACCUGAGAGGGUGAUCGGCCACACUGGGACUGAGACACGGCCCAGACUCCUACGGGAGGCAGCAGUAGGGAAUCUUCCGCAAUGGACGAAAGUCUGACGGAGCAACGCCGCGUGAGUGAAGAAGGUUUUCGGAUCGUAAAACUCUGUUGUUAGGGAAGAACAAGUACCAUAGUAACUGAUGGUACCUUGACGGUGCCUAACCAGAAAGCCACGGCUAACUACGUGCCAGCCGCCGCAGUAACAC